AGCAGCCGCGGUAAUUCCAGCUCCAAUAGCGUAUAUUAAAGUUGUUGCAGUUAAAAAGCUCGUAGUUGAAUUUCGGGGUUCUACCGUUGGUCAGGCUAACAAGUCUGUACUGGUGUGUAGAAUUUCUACCUUCUGGGGAACCAUCAUGUUAUUAAUUUAGCGUGGUGGGAAACCAGGACCUUUACCUUGAAAAAAUUAGAGUGUUCAAAGCAGGCUUACGUCUGAAUACAUUAGCAUGGAAUAAUAAAAUAGGACGGUGGUCCUGUUUUGUUGGUUUCUGAAUCACCGUAAUGAUUAAUAGGGAUAGUUGGGGGCAUUAGUAUUCAAUUGUCAGAGGUGAAAUUCUUGGAUUUAUUGAAGACUAACUUCUGCGAAAGCAUUUGCCAAGGAUGUUUUCAUUAAUCAAGAACGAAAGUUAGGGGAUCGAAGACGAUCAGAUACCGUCGUAGUCUUAACCAUAAACUAUGCCGACUAGGGAUCGGAUGAUGUUAAUUUUUAAUGUACUCAUUCGGCGCCUUAC
rnacentral:rRNA from 1 species